CCAGACUCCUACGGGAGGCAGCAGUGGGGAAUAUUGCACAAUGGGGGAAACCCUGAUGCAGCGACGCCGCGUGAGUGAAGAAGUAUUUCGGUAUGUAAAGCUCCAUCAGCAGGGAAGAAAAUGACGGUACCUGAUUAAGAAGCCCCGGCUAACUACGUGCCAGCAGCCGCGGUAAUACGUAGGGGGCAAGCGUUAUCCGGAUUUACUGGGUGUAAAGGGAGCGUAGACGGCAGCACAAGUCUGGAGUGAAAUGCCGGGGCUUAACCCCGGAACUGCUCUGGAAACUGUGAAGCUGGAGUGCAGGAGAGGUAAGCGGAAUUCCUGGUGUAGCGGUGAAAUGCGUAGAUAUACGGAGGAACACCAGUGGCGAAGGCGGAUUGCUGGACAGUAACUGACGCUGAGGCGCGAAAGCGUGGGGAGCAAACAGGAUUAGAUACCCGAGUAGG
rnacentral:rRNA from 1 species